UACGUAGGGACCAAGCGUUGUUCGGAUUUACUGGGGGUAAAGGGCGCGGAGGCGGCAAAUUAAGUCAUCUGUGAAAUCUCCGAGCUUAACUCGGAACGGUCAGGUGAUACUGAUCUGCUAGAGUGCGGAAGGGGCAAUCGGAAUUCUUGGUGUAGCGGUGAAAUGCGUAGAUAUCGUAAGGAAGACCAGUGGCGAAGGCGGGUCUCUGGACAGUUCCUGACGCUGAGGCACGAAGGCCAGGGGAGCAAACGGG
rnacentral:rRNA from 1 species